rnacentral:rRNA from 1 species
GACGAACGCUGGCGGCGUGCUUAACACAUGCAAGUCGAACGGAAAGGCCCUGCUUUUGUGGGGUGCUCGAGUGGCGAACGGGUGAGUAACACGUGAGUAACCUGCCCUUGACUUUGGGAUAACUUCAGGAAACUGGGGCUAAUACCGGAUAGGAGCUCCUGCUGCAUGGUGGGGGUUGGAAAGUUUCGGCGGUUGGGGAUGGACUCGCGGCUUAUCAGCUUGUUGGUGGGGUAGUGGCUUACCAAGGCUUUGACGGGUAGCCGGCCUGAGAGGGUGACCGGCCACAUUGGGACGGAGAUACGGCCCGGACUCCGGCGGGGGGCAGCAGGGGGAAUUUUUGCAAAAGGGGGGGAAGCCGGAUGCAGCACGGCCGCGUGGGGGAUGACGGCUUUGGGGUUGUAACCCGCUUUCGCCGGUGACGAAGGGGGGGGGAGGUAAAGGGGUAAAGAGGCCCCGGCAAGCUACGGC